CCUACGGGAGGCAGCAGUGGGGAAUAUUGCGCAAUGGGGGGAACCCUGACGCAGCAACGCCGCGUGAAUGAAGAAGGCUUUCGAGUCGUAAAAUUCUGUCCUCAGGGAAGAAGAAGUGACGGUACCUGAGGAGGAAGCCCCGGCUAACUACGUGCCAGCAGCCGCGGUAAUACGUAGGUGGCAAGCGUUGUCCGGAUUUACUGGGCGUAAAGGGUACGUAGGCGGUUUUUUAAGUCUGGUGUGAAAUUGGUGGGCUCAACCCACCCAAGCAUUGGAAACUGGAAAACUUGAGUCAUGGAGAGGAAAGUGGAAUUCCUAGUGUAGCGGUGAAAUGCGUAGAUAUUAGGAGGAAUACCGGUGGCGAAGGCGACUUUCUGGACAUGUACUGACGCUGAGGUACGAAAGCGUGGGGAGCAAACAGGAUUAGAUACCCGAGUAGU
rnacentral:rRNA from 1 species